rnacentral:rRNA from 1 species
AUUGAACGCUGGCGGAAUGCUUUACACAUGCAAGUCGAACGGCAGCACGGGGGCAACCCUGGUGGCGAGUGGCGAACGGGUGAGUAAUACAUCGGAACGUGCCCGGUCGUGGGGGAUAACGUAGCGAAAGUUACGCUAAUACCGCAUACGAUCUGAGGAUGAAAGCGGGGGACCUUCGGGCCUCGCGCGAUCGGAGCGGCCGAUGUCAGAUUAGGUAGUUGGUGGGGUAAAGGCCUACCAAGCCGACGAUCUGUAGCUGGUCUGAGAGGACGACCAGCCACACUGGGAAUGAGACACGGCCCAGACUCCUACGGGAGGCAGCAGUGGGGAAUAUUGGACAAUGGGCGCAAGCCUGAUCCAGCCAUACCGCGUGGAGGACGAAGGCCUUCGGGUUGUAAACUGCUUUUGUAUGGAACGAAAAGGCGCUGGCUAAUACCUGGGGGUCAUGACGGUACCGUAAGAAUAAGCACCGGCUAACUACGUG